rnacentral:rRNA from 1 species
CUUUUAUUGCGAAAAGGACUUGGAGAAUUGAGCAAGUCCCUGUACUGGGAAUGGUAGCCAUGCCUUUUAUAUACUUGCCUAUAUUGUGGCAAUAUUAUAAUCUGUAUUUUUAGUAGAUUCACCUCUAUUUUACUAGUUAUUACAAUGUUGCGUAUAAUUAUACAAUUCGUCUGAUAAGCCCGUUCUCUAAGGUGGAAACACCGUAUAAAAAUCAAAACUCAAUGAACUAAAAGAUUUUAUUAAUUGAAGGAAAAGAAACCAACCGGGAUUGCGUUAGUAGUACAGAGCGAAGGCGCAAAAGCUUAAAUAUAUUUUUGUUUACAGUCGAACUUAAGUGGAAUCCGGACCAAAGAAAGUUAUAGUCUUGUAGAUUGUAAACAAAAUAGUGCUGUAAUUAUUGUUUAGUUACGCACAUAUUAGUAUUUAUUGCGAAAAAACAGCGUAUGAAGAUAAUCAAUACGUCGCAGUAAAUAAAUAAGUUAGUUAGUGGUUUUACACUGCUAAUUAUUGACGGAUACCACUCCGUUGGCUAAAUACUCUAUGUAGAUCGAUAGUGAAUCAGUACUGUAAAGGAAUUAGGAAACAAGAAUGCCAUUGCUUCUCUGAAUACAAGUCCCGAAACAGGUUGCUUAUAAUGACUUUCAGUUUGGCCACUAUAAUGUUGAAUAGAAAGGUUCCUUUUGAAUCAUGAGCUGAUGACUUUGUGUUAGUUUAAGGCAUAUUAUUAAUUGUUCAAUUGUUUACUGCUUUAGAGUAAAUACAAAUUAAUAUAAGCGGCUUAAUUUAUUAAAAGUAAGCUUAUUAUGAAAAUAGUCAUAAAAAACUAACCCAAGACGCGAAACGAAGUGAGCUUAAGUAGACCAGGGGGAAGGUUGCCGGAAGGUAGUUGGACGCCCGAAGUGGUAUGCGUUGCAACGCAUUCAUAUGAGUUUAUUUAAGCGGCGAAAUACCAAUCGAACUUCGAGAUAUCUCGUUUUUUGCGAAACCUUUUUAGGAAGGGGGCCUGCAGAAUAAAUGCUAACUAGGUAGAGCGCUGUAAAACUGAUGGGAAGGAGACUUUUACUGAGGUGUUGCAAACCACAAAUUAGAAGCAUUUUGCCAGGUACUCAGUCAGUGCGGGACAAGCUGCAUUUGACAAGAAGGAAACAGCCUAGACUAUUAAUUAAGGCCCGUAAAUAGCGCUAAGUGAGAAAGUAAUUAACUUCACAAAAAUUAGUAGGACGUUUGAUUAGCAGCAUCUACCGUUUAAAGAAAGCGUAAUAGCUCACUACUAUAGUUUAGUUGUUGCGAAAAUUUAGCCGGACUAAGCGCUAUGCCGAAAUUAUAGCUAACUGUAACCUUUGCCCGAAAAGGCAAGGGGGCCAGUUAGAGUAGCAAAACGAACCAUGUUGACAAAAUUAUGUCGGUAAGACUUAAUGAAAAUAUUGGUUGCGAAUAUAUCAGCUAGAGUAACAUAUAAAUUGAGAUGUUUAGUUAAUACAGCUUUGAAUUAGUGUAACAACAAUUGAUCGCCUGUAUUAAUACAAAACAGUAUCUCAAUGAUCGGAAAUCCUGGGUUUUCUACACAACUAUUAAAGAUGUAGUUAAAAAUACGGUCCCUAAGUAAUAUAAAGGUUACGAUGGGUACUUGCUGUGUCCAACAAAACCUUAUUCGUAGGUCUGUUGCAGGAAACAGUAGCAAGGUAUUUACACGUUUUUUAAACAGAUUUAUUUGUUUUAUGUGUAUUAUAUAUAAAUACCGUACUAAAACUGACUCUGGUGGAUUAGUAGAUUUUACUAAGAUUUGGUUAUAAUCGCUCGUAAGGAACUCGGCAAAUUGCGCUGGUACUUUCGAAAACAGCGGUCUGAAAUUAAUGUUUUAGAUCUCAGAUAAGAAAACUGGGUGACAGUUUACUAAAAACUUAGCGUCCUGCCAAUUUGAAACAAGACGUAUAGGAUGUGACGUUUGCUAACGGCCACUAAUUUAAGUAAUCUGUUGUAAAAGAUAGAUAAACAAGAUGUGGUGACGAGCGGCCGUAACUAUAACGGUCAUAAAGUAGCGAAAUUCCUAGGCAUUUAAUUGGUGUCCUGCAUGAAUAACGUAACAACCUGGUUGCUGUCUCGCGAGCGAAAACCGUGAAAUAAGAAUAUCGGUUAAAAUACCGAUUAGGCUGUCUUAGACGAUAAGACCCUGUGAAGCUUUACUGUAACUUAACAUUGCGAUCGGUUUUUUAUCUUACAGUUAGGCGGGAGGUAAUACCGACAAUGGAAAACCGCUAGAUAAUAAAUUGGUCGCUUUUAUAUAAGACUACUUUUUAACUCAUAAGAUAUUAUAUAUGGCGUUUCAUACAACAUACUCUAUGCAAAUAGAUUAUAUUUAUGUAAGUAACGCUUGUAUAAAACACUUUAAUUAACAAAGAUCGAAGACAGUGUUAGGUGGGCAGUUUACUUGGGGCGAGGUCUGGCUAAAAGGUAACGCCAGAGAGCAAAAGGUAUGCUCAGUAUUGUCGGAAACAAUAUGUAGAGCGUAAUAGUAUAAGCAUGCCUGAUUAUAAGACUGACAAGUCGAAUAAAGACGAAAGUCUGCUAUAGUGACCCUCACACGCUAGGUGGAAAGGUGUGAGAUCAACGAAUCAAAGUUACUCCAGGGAUAACAGGGUAGUCCUGGCUUAUAGUUCUUAUAGACGCCAGGGUUCGCCACCUCGAUGUUGCCUCAGGUCAUCCUAGAGCUGCACAAGGUUCUAAGGGCGCAACUGUUCUUUGCAUAAUGACCUACGUGAGGUGAGUUUAAACCGCCGUAAGGCAGGUUUGGUUCUAUCUAGACAGCCAUAAUAUUUAACCAAGCACUAGAAUUCCACUGUACGAAAGGACCCGGAAUUCCACGCCAAUGGUUUAGCAAUUGUUUUGAAAAAAGCAUUGUUGCAACGCUAAGCGUGAAAUGUUAAUUGCUGAAAAACUAUCAAGCAAGAAACAAUUGUAAAGGUUAUAGUAGAUCGCAUUUGCGUAAAUAGGCGGAGGGGUGUAAGCUUUGCAAGAGGCUGAGCUACCCCGUACUAAUUUUUUUUUU